rnacentral:tRNA from 1 species
GCCCGGAUGGCGGAACUGGUAGACGCGCUUGGUUCAGGUCCAAGUGAAAGCAAUUUCAUAGGAGUUCAAGUCUCCUUUCGGGUA